ensembl:lncRNA
AUGUAGGUGGGAGGUCUUGAGAAGCCGAGAACAGGGGCUUGAACGAGCUGCAGCCCUGAGCCAUCUGUAGAGACACAGAGCACAGGUUACUCUCUCACACACAGAGCACAGGUUACUGUCUCACACACAGAGCACAGGUUACUCUCUCACACACAGAGCACAGGUUACUGUCUCACACACAGAGCACAGGUUACUCUCUCACACACAGAACACAGGUUACUCUCUCACGCACUCACACACAGAGCACAGGUUACUCUCUCACACAGGUUACUCUCUCACACACAGAGCACAGGUUACUCUCUCACACAGGUUACUGUCUCACACACAGAGCACAGGUUACUCUCUCACACAGGUUACUCUCUCACACACAGAGCACAGGUUACUCUCUCACACAGGUUACUCUCUCACACACAGAGCACAGGUUACUCUCUCACACACAGAGCACAGG